CCUACGGGUGGCUGCAGUGAGGAAUAUUGGUCAAUGGACGAGAGUCUGAACCAGCCAAGUAGCGUGAAGGAUGACUGCCCUAUGGGUUGUAAACUUCUUUUAUCUGGGAAUAAAAUGUUCCACGUGUGGGAUUUUGUAUGUACCAUAUGAAUAAGGAUCGGCUAACACCGUGCCAGCAGUCGCGGUAAUACGGAGGAUCCGAGCGUUAUCCGGAUUUAUUGGGUUUAAAGGGAGCGUAGGUGGAUUGUUAAGUCAGUUGUGAAAGUUUGCGGCUCAACCGUAAAAUUGCAGUUGAAACUGGCAGUCUUGAGUACAGUAGAGGUGGGCGGAAUGCGUGGUGUAGCGGUGAAAUGCUUAGAUAUCACGAAGAACUCCGAUUGCGAAGGCAGUUCACUGGACUGCAACUGACACUGAGGCUCGAAAGUGUGGGUAUCAAACAGGAUUAGAUACCCUUGUAGUC
rnacentral:rRNA from 1 species